rnacentral:lncRNA from 1 species
AAAGCAUGAGCUCUGAAGCUGAACUUUUCUUGCAUCCCUAACAGAUCCUGCUGCACAUUAUGAAGCCUUUUUGAGAUAUCUUCGAUCUACCCAGCCUACCACUUCAACAUCUUCAUCUUUAAAGAGUGUUACAUCUUCAGCUGCUACAAAUGUCCCACGACCUCCACAACAAGAUGUGCAAUCUUCUGCUGACAACAUAUGGUGCCUAUAGGAGAUAUAGGGACCAGCACCCUGGACCGAUUAGCAAUCGGUCAUAUUUGCGAUGGGUCCGGUUAGGAGGGAAUGAUGGUGAAUCAUUCAGCUGGGCCUAUCAUCCUCCUAACAGGGGUGCUGGGAGGUACAGCAGAAGAGAAAGCCAUGGUGGAGGUCGUGGGCGAAGACGAAAUGGUGGCGGCCUCGUCGUGAAUGGUGGCAUAGACUAUUACUAGGCGCCACCAUUUCUGUUUUUUUUUUAAAAUAAAUAUAUGACAUUAUCAAGUUUUUUUUCCAUUUGUUUACAAUUUUUACAAUUAAUAAAAUUUGAAUUAUUAUUUUAAAUUUUUACACAUAAUAAUAUAAAAACGAAGCAUUGACAGGUGUAAUAUUAGGUGUAAUAAAGUUUACAAGGGAAAUAAUUUUU